UACGGGGGGGGCAAGCGUUGUUCGGAAUUACUGGGCGUAAAGGGCUCGUAGGCGGCCAACUAAGUCAGACGUGAAAUCCCCAGGCUCAACCUGGGAACUGCGUCUGAUACUGGAUGGCUUGAAUCCGGGAGAGGGAUGCAGAACUCCAGGUGUAGCGGUGAAAUGCGUAGAUAUCUGGAGGAAUACCGGUGGCGAAGGCGGCAUCCUGGACCGGCAUUGACGCUGAGGAGCGAAAGCCAGGGGAGCAAACGGG
rnacentral:rRNA from 1 species